rnacentral:rRNA from 1 species
UACGGAGGGUCCAAGCGUUAUCCGGAUUUAUUGGGUUUAAAGGGUCCGUAGGCGGGAAAAUAAGUCAGUGGUGAAAGCCUACAGCUUAACUGUAGAAUUGCCAUUGAUACUGUUUUUCUUGAGUGUAGAUGAAGUGGGCGGAAUGUGUCAUGUAGCGGUGAAAUGCAUAGAUAUGACACAGAACACCGAUUGCGAAAGCAGCUCACUAAACUACUACUGACGCUCAUGGACGAAAGCGUGGGGAGCGAACAGG